rnacentral:rRNA from 1 species
ACGGAAGGCAGCAGUGGGGAAUAUUGGGCAAUGGGCGAAAGCCUGACCCAGCAACGCCGCGUGAAGGAAGAAGGUCUUCGGAUUGUAAACUUCUUUUAUGUGGGACGAACAAAUGACGGUACCACAUGAAUAAGCCACGGCUAACUACGUGCCAGCAGCCGCGGUAAUACGUAGGUGGCAAGCGUUAUCCGGAUUUACUGGGUGUAAAGGGCGUGUAGCCGGGGGAGCAAGUCAGAUGUGAAAUCUAUGGGCUUAACCCAUAAACUGCAUUUGAAACUGUUCUUCUUGAGUGCUGGAGGGGCAAUCGGAAUUCCUUGUGUAGCGGUGAAAUGCGUAGAUAUAAGGAGGAACACCAGUGGCGAAGGCGGAUUGCUGGACAGUAACUGACGGUGAGGCGCGAAAGUGUGGGGAGCAAACAGGAUUAGAUACCCUGGUA